rnacentral:rRNA from 1 species
GACGAACCGUGCGAACGUUGUUCGGAAUCACUGGGCUUAAAGGGCGCGUAGGCGGACAAUCAAGUCAGGGGUGAAAUCCCACGGCUCAACCGUGGAAGUGCCUUUGAUACUGACUGUCUCGAGGGAGGUAGGGGCGUGCGGAACUUCCGGUGGAGCGGUGAAAUGCGUAGAUAUCGGAAGGAACGCCGGUGGCGAAAGCGGCGCGCUGGACCUCUUCUGACGCUGAGGCGCGAAAGCUAGGGGAGCAAACGGGG